GAUNGGGGCUUCCGCCCUGAGUAAAGUGGCGCACGGGUGAUUAACACGUGGAUAAUCUACCCCAUGGACCUGGAUAACACUUCCAAAGGGGUGCUAUUACCGGAUAAUCCCACUGGCUCUUUGGAGCCUGCUGGAAAAGGUGGGGACCUUCUGGCCUACGGNCAUCGGAUGAAUCCGCGGCCCGUUGNCUAAAUGGUGCGGUAAUGGCCUACCGUGGCAACGAUGGGAAGCUGGUCUGACACGAUGAUCAACCAAACUGGAACUGAGACUCCGACCAGACUCCUACGGGAGGAAUCUUGGGGGAAUUUUGCGCAAUGGGCGAAAGCCUGACGCAUGAACGCCGCGUGACUGAUGAAUGGCCUCGGGUCUUAAAGCUCUGUCAAAGGGGAAGAAACUUUUGGGGGAGAAUGUCCCUUGAGACUGACGGUCCCCUCAAUAGAAGCACCGGCUANCUCCAUUACAGCA
rnacentral:rRNA from 1 species